rnacentral:rRNA from 1 species
CAGGUGCUGCAUGGCUGUCGUCAGCUCGUGUCGUGAGAUGUUGGGUUAAGUCCCGUAACGAGCGCAACCCUUGUCCUUAGUUACCAGCACUUUAGGGGGGGCACUCUAAGGAAACUGCCGGUGACAAACCGGAGGAAGGGGGGGAUGACGUCAAGUCAUCAGGCCCCUUACGGCCGGGGCUACACACGUGCUACAAGGGUCGGAACAAAGGGUUGCCAACCCGCGAGGUGGAGCUAAUCCCAAAAAACCGAUCGUAUUCCGGAUCGCAUUCUGCAACUCGACUGCGUGAAGUCGAAAUCG